GCACCACUGAGGAGUCUCAUACUAGGACUAAACGGCUGUCUGGUAC
rnacentral:hammerhead_ribozyme from 1 species